rnacentral:rRNA from 1 species
GGCGGCGGCUUACCAUGCAAGUCGAGCGGGCAUAGCAAUAUGUCAGCGGCAGACGGGUGAGUAACGCGUGGGAACGUACCUUUUGGUUCGGAACAACACAGGGAAACUUGUGCUAAUACCGGAUAAGCCCUUACGGGGAAAGAUUUAUCGCCGAAAGAUCGGCCCGCGUCUGAUUAGCUAGUUGGUGAGGUAAUGGCUCACCAAGGCGACGAUCAGUAGCUGGUCUGAGAGGAUGAUCAGCCACAUUGGGACUGAGACACGGCCCAAACUCCUACGGGAGGCAGCAGUGGGGAAUAUUGGACAAUGGGCGCAAGCCUGAUCCAGCCAUGCCGCGUGAGUGAUGAAGGCCCUAGGGUUGUAAAGCUCUUUUGUGCGGGAAGAUAAUGACGGUACCGCAAGAAUAAGCCCCGGCUAACUUCGUGCCACG